rnacentral:rRNA from 1 species
AUCCCACCCACUUUGUGGGGUAAGGCCCCCAGCUAGACGACUGGGUUGAUAGGCCGGAAAUGUAAGCCCGGUAACGGGUUCAGUUGACCGGUACUAAUAGGCCGAGGACUUGACUACU